rnacentral:rRNA from 1 species
UACAGAGGGUGCGAGCGUUGUUCGGAAUUAUUGGGCGUAAAGAGCUCGUAGGCGGUCUGUUGCGUCUGCUGUGAAAACUCGGGGCUUAACCCCGAGCCUGCAGUGGAUACGGGCAGACUAGAGGUAGGUAGGGGAGAAUGGAAUUCCCGGUGUAGCGGUGAAAUGCGCAGAUAUCAGGAGGAACACCGGUGGCGAAGGCGGGUCUCUGGGCCGAAAUUGACGCUGAGGAGCGAAAGCGUGGGGAGCAAACAGG